rnacentral:tRNA from 1 species
GCCUGGGUGGCUCAGUCGGUUGAGCGUCUGAUUUCGGCUCAGGCAGUGAUCUUGCAGUUCGUGAGUUCAAACCCUGCAUCAGGCU